AGUCUUCCACAAUGGGCGAAAGCCUGAUGGAGCAACGCCGCGUGAGUGAAGAAGGUUUUCGGAUCGUAAAACUCUGUUGUAAGGGAAGAACAAGUACAGUAGUAACUGGCUGUACCUUGACGGUACCUUAUUAGAAAGCCACGGCUAACUACGUGCCAGCAGCCGCGGUAAUACGUAGGUGGCAAGCGUUGUCCGAAAUUAUUGGGCUUAAAGCGGGCGCAGGCGGUCCUUUAAGUCUGUGGUGAAAGCCCAGGGCUCAACGGUGGGGGGUCAUUGAAACCUGGGGACUUGAGUGCAGAAGAGGAAAGUGGAAUUCCAAGUGUAGCGGUGAAAUGCGUAGAGAUUUGGAGGAACACCAGUGGCGAAGGCGACUUUCUGGUCUGUAACUGACGCUGAGGCGCGAAAGCGUGGGGAGCAAACAGG
rnacentral:rRNA from 1 species